rnacentral:rRNA from 1 species
UCUACGGGAGGCUGCAGUGGGGAAUAUUGCACAAUGGGGGGAACCCUGAUGCAGCGACGCCGCGUGAGUGAAGAAGUAUUUCGGUAUGUAAAGCUCUAUCAGCAGGGAAGAAGAUGACGGUACCUGACUAAGAAGCCCCGGCUAACUACGGGCCAGCAGCCGCGGUAAUACGUAGGGUGCAAGCGUUAUCCGGAUUUACUGGGUGUAAAGGGAGCGUAGGCGGCAGGGCAAGUCUGGAGUGAAAGCCCGGGGCCCAACCCCGGGACUGCUUUGGAAACUGCCAUGCUAGAGUGCUGGAGAGGUAAGCGGAAUUCCUGGUGUAGCGGUGAAAUGCGUAGAUAUUAGGAGGAACACCAGUGGCGAAGGCGGCUUACUGGACAGUAACUGACGUUGAGGCUCGAAAGCGUGGGGAGCAAACAGGAUUAGAUACCCGGGUAGUC